UUUUAAUUUCUCCUACUGCUUGUAACUAAAAGACCCCGAAGGGAGACCCUCACUCAAAUCUCGGGAAGGCGCACACCCAGUGAGACACUGAGACCG
rnacentral:pre_miRNA from 7 species